UACGGGGGGAGCAAGCGUUGUUCGGAUUUACUGGGCGUAAAGGGCGCGUAGGCGGCGCGACAAGUCACUUGUGAAAUCUCCGGGCUUAACUCGGAGCGGCCAAGUGAUACUGUCGUGCUAGAGUGCGGAAGGGGCAACUGGAAUUCUCGGUGUAGCGGUGAAAUGCGUAGAUAUCGAGAGGAACACCUGCGGCGAAGGCAGCUCGCUGGGACGGUACUGACGCUGAGACGCGAAAGCGUGGGGAGCAAACAGG
rnacentral:rRNA from 1 species